rnacentral:rRNA from 1 species
AUACGGGGGAUGCAAGCGUUAUCCGGAAUCAUUGGGCGUAAAGCGCCUGUAGGUUGUUUAAUAAGUCUGUUGUUAAAGACUAGGGCUUAACCCUAGAAAAGCAAUGGAAACUACUAGACUAGAGUAUGGCAGGGGUAGAGGGAAUUUCUAGUGUAGCGGUGAAAUGCGUAGAUAUUAGAAAGAACACCGGUGGCGAAAGCGCUCUACUGGACCAUUACUGACACUCAGAGGCGAAAGCUAGGGUAGCAAAAGGGAUUAGAUACCCCUGUAGUCCUAGCCGUAAACGAUGGAUACUACAUGUUGUGUUUAUUUCACAGUAUGGUAGCUAACGCGUUAAGUAUCCCGCCUGGGGAGUACGCUCGCAAGGGUGAAACUCAAAGGAAUUGACGGGGGCCCGCACAAGCGGUGGAGCAUGUGGUUUAAUUCGAUGCAACGCGAAGAACCUUACCAGGGCUUGACAUACUGCGAAUCUUUCCGAAAGGAAAGAGUGCCUUCGGGAAUGCAGAUACAGGUGGUGCAUGGCUGUCGUCAGCUCGUGUCGUGAGAUGUUGGGUUAAGUCCCGCAACGAGCGCAACCCUUGUUUUUAGUUACCAAUUCGUUGGGUUUUCUAGAAAGACUGCCGGUGACAAACCGGAGGAAGGUGAGGAUGACGUCAAGUCAGCAUGCCCCUUAUGUCCUGGGCUACACACGUGCUACAAUGGUUAGGACAAAGAGUUGCGAGCUUGUGAAAGUCAGCUAAUCUCAUAAACCUAACCCAAGUUC